rnacentral:sRNA from 1 species
AUUACAAGAAGAAGAAUAAAC